rnacentral:rRNA from 1 species
CACCCAGUAUGGAAGAAAUUAUGGAGUUUGAAAGUUCCUGGGAAAGUAAAGAUCUUUUUGUGGAGAUGCUUACAUAAUGCAAUUCCGUGCUUCGGUGUCCUAGCAAACAGACACAUAGGCCAUGUCUCUCAGUGCCCAAUAUGUCGUUUGGCUGCUGAGGAUAUUAAGCACGCCAUCUUUAGCUGUGAGCGAGCCAAAGCAGUUUGGUCGUCGUUGGGGAUUUGGAAUACUAUAUCUAAUGCUCUACUGGUGGACCGAUCGGGAGCAGCAGUACUGGAAUUUCUAUUGUGUGAUCAAGUGCAUCAGAAGGCGUAUAUGGAUCAGUUUGACCUACCUGAACUUAUAGCGACGGCAAGCUGGUAUAUUUGGUGGCAGAGAAGAAUGCAUGUUAGAGGGGAGGUAGUUCAAACUCCGGCGCGAACAGGACAAGCCAUUCAUGCACUUGCAUUUAAUUUCACCCGUGCGAUGGCCGUUCCUGCGCCAAGACCGAGGAGAAACUCUUGGCCAAUAGUUCUGGCAUCGCAACAGCUCUUGAACGUUGAUGCAUCUUUCCGUGAGGAGGAUCACUCGGGAUCAUGUGGAGCCAUUAUAAGAGACCACAAAGGGAAUUUCAUAGCAGCUUCUACCUCACGUAUUGACCACGUUGCAGACGUAGUCACUGCUGAAGCUGUAGCACUCCGGGAAGGUGUGAAGUUAGCUAUUUCGAUGGGUUGCAAUAACAUCAUGGCGAGGAUGGAUAACUUCAUCGUAGUAAACGCUCUACAGCUGAAUGAAGGACAAUCAAUGGUCGCUGGCCCCGUUUUGGAAGAUUGCAGAGAUUUACUAAGAGGUUUUGGGAAGGUUAUUCUUGAGCAUUGUAAUAGAGAGUCAAAUAUGACUGCUCAUGCGCUAGCUGAAUAUGGUCGUGCAAACGAUCCGUCUCUAUGGAUCGAGGCACCACCAAGUUUCAUUGCCAAUUCUUUGGCAAACGAUGUAUCUGUUAUUUAG